rfam:Puccinia graminis f. sp. tritici CRL 75-36-700-3 supercont2.57 genomic scaffold, whole genome shotgun sequence.
GCCAUGGAUCUACUAAGAUCCACAAAGCAAUUAACUCAAAAUAUUU